rnacentral:rRNA from 1 species
UUUUCGCAAUGCCCGAAAGGGUGACGAAGCGACGCCGCGUGGGUGAAGAAGGCCUUCGGGUUGUAAAGCCCCGUCAGGAGUUAUGAAAUGUAAGUGCGCUAAUAUCGUGCUUAUUUGACAAAGGCUCCAAAGGAAGCCACGGCUAACUCUGUGCCAGCAGCCGCGGUAAUACAGAGGUGGCGAACGUUGUUCGGAAUUAUUGGGCGUAAAGAGCACGUAGGUGGGUUUGCAAGUCAGAUGUGAAAGCCUUCUGUUCAACGGAAGAAUUGCAUCUGAAACUGCUAAUCUUGAGUAUAGGAGGGGAGAAUGGAACUUCUGGUGGAGCGGUGAAAUGCGUAGAUAUCAGAAGGAACGCCGGCGGCGAAAGCGAUUCUCUGGCCUAUUACUGACACUCAGUGUGCGAAAGCUAGGGGAGCAAACGGGAUUAGAUACCCCGGUAGUCCUAGCCGUAAACGAUGGGCACUAAGUAGAGGGGUUUUAAUC